CUCAGAACGAACGCUGGCGGCGUGCCUAACACAUGCAAGUCGAACGGAGGUAAGGGGCUUGCUCCUUAUUUUAGUGGCGCACGGGUGAGUAACGCGUGGAUAAUCUACCUUGGAAUCUGGGAUAACAUUUCGAAAGGGGUGCUAAUACCGGAUAAGACCACGAGCUCUUUGGAGUUUGCGGUAAAAGGGGGCCUCUGUAUAUGCUUCUGUUUCAAGAUGAGUCCGCGUACCAUUAGCUAGUUGGCAGGGUAAUGGCCUACCAAGGCGACGAUGGUUAGCUGGUCUGAGAGGAUGAUCAGCCACACUGGAACUGAGACACGGUCCAGACUCCUACGGGAGGCAGCAGUGGGGAAUUUUGCGCAAUGGGGGAAACCCUGACGCAGCAACGCCGCGUGAGUGAUGAAGGCCUUCGGGUCGUAAAGCUCUGUCAGAGGGAAAGAAG
rnacentral:rRNA from 1 species